rnacentral:misc_RNA from 1 species
UCGAGUCUUUGAAAGGGGUUGACGCUGGCCUUCCGAGGCAUGUGCUCGCCCCGCUCAAUCCCACUCAACACCUGUGCACUCUGAAGGUCGUCGUGGGGCCUCCCGUCGCGAGGCGGUCGAGGUCGUGUGGCGACCUUUGUCACACGAACGCUUUGUUGUCUUUGGAAUGCGGUCAAAAAGUAAAUCAUA